CUACUACAGACAGCACCUCUAUGUUUAUUCGGUUGAACUCAUCAAAGCAUGCCCAUGCACCAGAACUUUGGGAAAGAGAUAAGGAGUAAAAUCUUCCAACUGUUUGCAGUGAUUUGAUUCAUGAUGU